UUUCCAAAGAUGGAUGCAAAUGCUGGGAAAGCAAGAGUUGAAUUGCUAGCCAUGAGGAAAACGUAAGCCUGAGCUGUUUGCUGGCCAUCUUUGCUUCCACAUGGGGAUGGCCUGCCUGGAAAUGAAGCCACACAGAGAAAACAGAAGAGCAGUGAAGAGAAGGGUAAAAGGAGAGAUCCCAUGACAUGAUUUGCACUCUUAGAUCCAGUUAUGCCUGAUGCAGGACCCACCCCUUGGACUUCCCAUUUCCAGGAGCUAAAACUAGACUGAGUUGAGUUUCUGUCACUGACAGUUGACAGAAAAUAUCAACAAUCCAGCCACAUGGAGCCUCAUGGCAGUACCACUAACCCUGGUCACCACAUGAAUACUGACCAGAGGCAUUUCACCUGAAUCAACUGUUUGUGUUCUUAACUCCAUCUCCUCAUCUGCUUCCUGGAAGACCCAACUGACAUAGAUGGUUACAAGAAAUGAUUUCCUCCUUAUAAAACUCUAGUUGCUGUCUCCUUGAUCUGGAAGCUUGUCCCUCCUUGUAACACCUGGCAGGCAUUGUCUCUUCUGGAAAGACUUUACGCCACUGCCCUCUUUUGCUGCCCUUUGACUUCUUGUAUAGAAGAUACCUAAAAAGUGUUUGCUGAAUGAAGAAAUAAAGGAUUGCUCAGGCACCACUGGCACUUUAAGUUGUUCAGCAAGUACUCGUGCCUCUUAAGAACUGGCCAAGGGCCGGGCGUGGUGGUUCAUGCCUGUAAUCCCAGCAUUUUGGGACGCCGAGGCGGGCAGAUCACGAAGUCAGGAGUUCGAGACCAGCGUGGCCAACGUGGUGAAACCCCAUCUCUACUAAAAAUACAAAAACUUAGCCGGGUGUGGUGGCCUGCGCCUGUAGUCCCAGCUACUCGGGAGGCUGAGGCACAAGAAUUGCUUGAACCCACGAGGAGGAGCUUGCAGUAAGCCGAGAUCGCGCCAUUGCACUCCAGCCUGGGCAACAGGGCAAGACUCUGUCCUGAAAGAAAAAAAAAAAAAAAAAAAAAAAGAACUGGCCGAGGUCUUAGCUGGAGCACUCUCUCUACCCUGCAUGUUUGACUGCAUUUCUGUCCAUUUUCAAUCCGUUUUGGUUAUACGUUUUUUCACACAGGUCUGUUGAACUUAGAACACCGAAGGCCUGUGUAUUUUCAUGGCUCACAGCUCAUGUUGUGUUGACCUGCCCCACUGUGGUUAAUGUUUAGCCCCUAAACCACCAGCUGAAUGUCCUUAAAUCUGAAAGAAUAAUGAACACACGCCAACAGAUAGCUUAGGUUUAUUUGGUGACUUGCGCCACAUACUUUGCGAAUAUCAUCUCAGUCAUCCUUUUAGCAUCUCUCUCAGGCACAUACUCUCCUCUGUGGUGGCUCAUGCCGGUAAUCCCAGCCCUUUGGGAGGCCGAGGCGGGCAGAUCACUUGAGGCAAGGAGUUCGAGACCAGCCUGGCCAACACGGUGAAACCCCAUCUCUACUAAAAAUACAAAAAUUAGCCGGCUAUGGUGGCAUGCGCCUGUAAUCCCAGCUGCUCGAGAGGCUGAGGCAGGAGAAUCAUUUGAACCCAGGAGGCAGAGGUUGCAGUGAGCCUAGACUGCACCAUUGCACUUCAGCCUGGGUGAGACCCCAUCUCAAAUCAAUCAAUCAAUCAAUCAAUCAAUCAAUCAAUAAGGGAAAAGCUAUCACACAGCAGAAUACAGUCCAAGGGUAACUACUGAAGGGCCAGAUCAAGGAGCAAAGUCUAUCAUGUAUCAACCUUUACAGUGUCCCCAAGGGUCAGCUGUGUAUAGGGGCCCACACAGAAUUUGGAAUCCAAAUACAUCUCUGGAUCCCCAGGCCUGUGUUUGACUCGCCAGGUAGUAAUGAGAUGUCUCCAUUUUCUGCAGGCUGAAUGAUUCCCUCAGAGCAGAAGUAUAAGCAUAUUUAUUGUUUUUCCUUCUAUCAUAAACAGUUAUUAGUUGUGGCCCUUUCUCCCUUCCAAAUAGGUGCCCAAAUUUCUGGAAGUGGAAAGGGCCCAACUUUCCCAUAUCAGGGGGUGGGCCCCACUGGGCGUGAGCCAAUCAGUGUCUUCUGUCCUGUGAGCUCCCGAUUUAUGCUGGUCUAUAACCUGAGAUGGCCUUCUCAGGAUGGACCUCCAGGGAUUGCUGGAACUUGGACUCUUGUCAGCC
ensembl:lncRNA LINC01476 long intergenic non-protein coding RNA 1476